rnacentral:tRNA from 1 species
GGACCGGUGGCGGAAUAGGCAGACGCAGAGGACUUAAAAUCCUCUGUCCGCAAGGACGUGUGGGUUCGAGUCCCACCCGGUCCAUCA